AUGCUCAUCAGAGUGACAUUUCCACAGGAAGCCCUAGUACAGUCCAUGUUUUCCAGCAUGCUUUGGGCCAUUCUCCUCCCACUUCUCUCUCACUGCUCAGGUGUCAGCUCUCAGCCUACACUGACCCAGCAGCCCUCAGAGUCUGUGGUGCUUGGAAAGACAGUGAGACUCUCGGCCCGUUUGAGCAGUGGCUAUGAGGGCUACGUUGUAUCAUGGUAUCAGCAGAGAGAGGGGCAAACUCUUCGGCUUCUGAUGUACAGUGACAGCAGCAGACCCAGCGGGAUCCCAGAUCGAUUCUCUGGUUCCAAACUGGGCAGUGAUCGCUAUUUGACCAUCACAGGAGUGCAGCCAGAAGAUGAGGCGACAUAUUACUGUGGGGUAGCUGGUGGGAGCUGGUUACCCACAGCGAUACAUUUAGAAGGGGAAGCCAAAUGCAAGUUCAACCUCACCAACGCUGAACUCCUCAAUGACCUUUACAUUUGUAGCAAACAGGCUGAAUCCAUUCCUGAUCCAGUCAACAUGUUGUACAAGUGUCAGGUUUUUUGUGGAUGA